GGGACACGUGGUAUCCUGUCUGAAUAUGGGGGGACCAUCCUCCAAGGCUAAAUACUCCUGACUGACCGAUAGUGAACCAGUACCGUGAGGGAAAGGCGAAAAGAACCCCGGCGAGGGGAGUGAAAAAGAACCUGAAACCGUGUACGUACAAGCAGUGGGAGCACGCUUAGGCGUGUGACUGCGUACCUUUUGUAUAAUGGGUCAGCGACUUAUAUUCUGUAGCAAGGUUAACCGAAUAGGGGAGCCGAAGGGAAACCGAGUCUUAACUGGGCGUUAAGUUGCAGGGUAUAGACCCGAAACCCGGUGAUCUAGCCAUGGGCAGGUUGAAGGUUGGGUAACACUAACUGGAGGACCGAACCGACUAAUGUUGAAAAAUUAGCGGAUGACUUGUGGCUGGGGGUGAAAGGCCAAUCAAACCGGGAGAUAGCUGGUUCUCCCCGAAAGCUAUUUAGGUAGCGCCUCGUGAAUUCAUCUCCGGGGGUAGAGCACUGUUUCGGCAAGGGGGUCAUCCCGACUUACCAACCCGAUGCAAACUGCGAAUACCGGAGAAUGUUAUCACGGGAGACACACGGCGGGUGCUAACGUCCGUCGUGAAGAGGGAAACAACCCAGACCGCCAGCUAAGGUCCCAAAGUCAUGGUUAAGUGGGAAACGAUGUGGGAAGGCCCAGACAGCCAGGAUGUUGGCUUAGAAGCAGCCAUCAUUUAAAGAAAGCGUAAUAGCUCACUGGUCGAGUCGGCCUGCGCGGAAGAUGUAACGGGGCUAAACCAUGCACCGAAGCUGCGGCAGCGACGCUUAUGCGUUGUUGGGUAGGGGAGCGUUCUGUAAGCCUGUGAAGGUGUGCUGUGAGGCAUGCUGGAGGUAUCAGAAGUGCGAAUGCUGACAUAAGUAACGAUAAAGCGGGUGAAAAGCCCGCUCGCCGGAAGACCAAGGGU
rnacentral:rRNA from 1 species